UAGCUAGUUGGUGAGGUAAAGGCUUACCAAGGCGACGAUCUGUAGCGGGUCUGAGAGGAUGAUCCGCCACACUGGAACUGAGACACGGUCCAGACUCCUACGGGAGGCAGCAGUGGGGAAUUUUGGACAAUGGGCGCAAGCCUGAUCCAGCCAUGCCGCGUGAGUGAAGAAGGCCUUCGGGUUGUAAAGCUCUUUCGGCCGGGAAGAAAUCGCAUGGGUUAAUACCCUGUGUGGAUGACGGUACCGGAAUAAGAAGCACCGGCUAACUACGUGCCAGCAGCCGCGGUAAUACGUAGGGUGCGAGCGUUAAUCGGAAUUACUGGGCGUAAAGCGUGCGCAGGCGGUUUUGUAAGACAGGCGUGAAAUCCCCGGGCUUAACCUGGGAACUGCGUUUGUGACUGCAAGGCUAGAGCACGGCAGAGGGGGGUGGAAUUCCACGUGUAGCAGUGAAAUGCGUAGAGAUGUGGAGGAACACCAAUGGCGAAGGCAGCCCCCUGGGUCGAUACUGACGCUCAUGCACGUAAGCGUGGGUAGCAAACAGGAUUAGAUACCCUGGUAGUCCACGCCCUAAGCUAUGUCAACUAGGUGUUGGGUGGGUAAAACCAUUUAGUACCGUAGCUAACGCGUGAAGUUGACCGCCUGGGGAGUACGGCCGCAAGGUUAAAACUCAAAGGAAUUGACGGGGACCCGCACAAGCGGUGGAUGAUGUGGAUUAAUUCGAUGCAACGCGAAAAACCUUACCUACCCUUGACAUGCCAGGAACUUGCCAGAGAUGGCUUGGUGCCCGAAAGGGAGCCUGGACACAGGUGCUGCAUGGCUGUCGUCAGCUCGUGUCGUGAGAUGUUGGGUUAAGUCCCGCAACGAGCGCAACCCUUGUCGUUAAUUGCCAUCAUUUAGUUGGGCACUUUAACGAGACUGCCGGUGACAAACCGGAGGAAGGUGGGGAUGACGUCAAGUCCUCAUGGCCCUUAUGGGUAGGGCUUCACACGUCAUACAAUGGUCGGUACAAAGGGUUGCCAAGCCGCGAGGCGGAGCCAAUCCCAGAAAGCCGAUCGUAGUCCGGAUUGCAGGCUGCAACUCGCCUGCAUGAAGUCGGAAUCGCUAGUAAUCGUGGAUCAGCAUGUCACGGUGAAUACGUUCCCGGGUCUUGUACACACCGCCCGUCACACCAUGGGAGCGGGUUCCGCCAGAAGUAGGUAGCCUAACCGCAAGGGGGGCGCUUACCACGGCGGGGUUCGUGACUGGGGUGAAGUCGGAACAAGGUAGCCGUAGGGGAACCUGCGGCUG
rnacentral:rRNA from 1 species